CUCUUAGAUGUUCUGGGCUGCACGCGUGCUACACUGAUAUUGCCAAUAUGUCAUUCUUAUCCGAAAUGGAUUGGGUAAUCAAGUAAUGAAAUUUCAUGCUUGGAAUCGGUAAUUGCAAUUUUAUCGUGAACGAGGAAUUCCUAGUAAGCACUAGUCAUCAGCUAAUGUUGAUUAUGUCCCUGCCCUUUGUACACACCGCCCGUCGCUACUACUGAUUGGGUGUUCAAGUGAGAUGCUUAGACCCUUGUUGCAUGGUUCAUUAUUGUGCUCCGAAAGGAAAAAGUUUCAAGCUUGAGUGUCUAGAGGAAGUAAAAGUCGUAACA
rnacentral:rRNA from 1 species